GUGGGGAAUCUUCCGCAAUGGACGAAAGUCUGACGGAGCAACGCCGCGUGAGUGAAGAAGGUUUUCGGAUCGUAAAGCUCUUUCGUUAGGGACGAACGUGCUCUUUGUGAAUAAUGAGGAGUAAUGACGGUACCUAAAUAAGAAGCCACGGCUAACUACGUGCCAGCAGCCGCGGUAAUACGUAGGUGGCAAGCGUUGUCCGGAAUUAUUGGGCGUAAAGCGCGCGCAGGCGGGAUAUCAAGUCUGUCUUAAAAGUGCGAGGCUCAACCUCGUGAGGGGACAGAAACUGGUAUUCUUGAGUGUCGGAGAGGAAAGUGGAAUUCCAAGUGUAGCGGUGAAAUGCGUAGAGAUUUGGAAGAGCACCAGUGGCGAAGGCGACUUUCUGGACGAUGUCUGACGCUGAGGCGCGAAAGCUAGGGGAGCGAACGGGAUUAGAAACCCUGGUAGUCC
rnacentral:rRNA from 1 species